rnacentral:rRNA from 1 species
GACGAACGCUGGCGGCGUGCUUAACACAUGCAAGUCGAACGGAAAGGCCCUGCUUGCCGGGUACUCGAGUGGCGAACGGGUGAGUAACACGUGGGUGAUCUGCCCUUCACUUCGGGAUAAGCCUGGGAAACUGGGUCUAAUACCGGAUAGGAGCCAUUUUUAGUGUGAUGGUUGGAAAGUUUUUUCGGUGUAGGAUGAGCUCGCGGCCUAUCAGCUUGUUGGUGGGGUAAUGGCCUACCAAGGCGGCGACGGGUAGCGGGCCUGAGAGGGUGGACGGCCACAUUGGGACUGAGAUACGGCCCAGACUCCUACGGGAGGCAGCAGUGGGGAAUAUUGCACAAUGGGCGCAAGCCUGAUGCAGCGACGCCGCGUGGGGGAUGACGGCCUUCGGGUUGUAAACUCCUUUCGCUAGGGACGAAGCUUUUUGGGACGGUACCUAGAGAAGAAGCACCGGCAAACUACGU